UUGCGCGCGAGUGACAGGAAAUGUGGAUAAUCUUUCUGUAUUAAGUUUGUCUUUUUGUCGAGCUCAAUUCUUCUUUUCUGGGUUUUGCUUGGUUUCUUGUAAAUUCCUCUGCUUUGGGUUAUACGGGUGAAUUCGAUUAGUGGUGAUACCUAGUGUGAUCUUUUGGUGCAGAAAUAGUUUAAGAAAUGGCGCUAGGGUUGAUAUUGGGAAUUGGGAGGGCAUUCAGAAGGAAGCGAACGUCGUCGCUUGAUAUUCUGACGUCGAAGAGAAGUCCUCGGGGUUAUUACAAGGGCAAAAAUUGCAAGCCUACUGGUUUUCACACCCGCAAAGGUGGCUAUGUGGUGCAGCCUGAAAAGUUGCCAAAUUAUGUUGUACCGGACUUGACCGGCUUCAAGAAAAUUUUGCUAGCCGUCGUGAAUCCUGGGAACAUUGUUUGGUUCAUCAAAUCUGAAGCUGGGUCCUUUCUCCGUGGUUAAAUUCAUUAUGCUAAAACCGUAUGUGUCUCAGUGUGCACGACAGUUGGGUGAUUCAGCUAAGUAAAUGGAAUGCAACAAAGCCUCUCUGGUUGAGUCCAAAACAGAGGUGGGUGGCUUGUGGUGCCGACAUCUCUUACCAGCCCAACUGCCGUCCCUCUUCUUGGUUUGGCCUCAUCAUCAAAUGUAGUGGUCCUUUGUGCCUCUUGUUAUUUGUUUUGCCACUUAUUCUUUUGCAUGAUAUUAGUUGUUCUUGGGAAUCCUUAAUAUCUUGGAGGGCGAACCACUUCAUUAGUUGAGGGCAUUAGAAUGUUGCCUAGAUUUAACGAAUACUGAUAAUCCGUAGAAAAACACAAACAUUGUUUGGAUGAAAUUGAGGGACAAAUUUUCAUUCUUCUUUUUACUCCACUGUUGUGCAAUUACCACUCAAUU